rnacentral:rRNA from 1 species
AUGCUGACAUAAGUAACGAUAAUGCGGGUGAAAAGCCCGCACGCCGGAAGACCAAGGGUUCCUGUCCAACGUUAAUCGGGGCAGGGUGAGUCGACCCCUAAGGCGAGGCCGAAAGGCGUAGUCGAUGGGAAACAGGUUAAUAUUCCUGUACUUGGUGUUACUGCGAAGGGGGGACGGAGAAGGCUAUGUUAGCCGGGCGACGGUUGUCCCGGUUUAAGCAUGUAGGCGGAGGUUCCAGGUAAAUCCGGUACCUUUUUAACGCUGAGGUGUGAUGACGAGGCACUACGGUGCUGAAGUAACAAAUGCCCUGCUUCCAGGAAAAGCCUCUAAGCAUCAGGUAACAUUAAAUCGUACCCCAAACCGACACAGGUGGUCAGGUAGAGAAUACCAAGGCGCUUGAGAGAACUCGGGUGAAGGAACUAGGCAAAAUGGUGCCGUAACUUCGGGAGAAGGCACGCUGAUAUGUAGGUGAAGCCCCUGCGGGUGGAGCUGAAAUCAGUCGAAGAUACCAGCUGGCUGCAACUGUUUAUUAAAAACACAGCACUGUGCAAACACGAAAGUGGACGUAUACGGUGUGACGCCUGCCCGGUGCCGGAAGGUUAAUUGAUGGGGUUAUCCGUAAGGAGAAGCUCUUGAUCGAAGCCCCGGUAAACGGCGGCCGUAACUAUAACGGUCCUAAGGUAGCGAAAUUCCUUGUCGGGUAAGUUCCGACCUGCACGAAUGGCGUAAUGAUGGCCAGGCUGUCUCCACCCGAGACUCAGUGAAAUUGAACUCGCUGUGAAGAUGCAGUGUACCCGCGGCAAGACGGAAAGACCCCGUGAACCUUUACUAUAGCUUGACACUGAACAUUGAGCCUUGAUGUGUAGGAUAGGUGGGAGGCUUUGAAGCGUGGACGCCAGUCUGCGUGGAGCCAACCUUGAAAUACCACCCUUUAAUGUUUGAUGUUCUAACGUUGGCCCCUUAUCGGGGUUGCGGACAGUGUCUGGUGGGUAGUUUGACUGGGGCGGUCUCCUCCCAAAGAGUAACGGAGGAGCACGAAGGUUAGCUAAUCCUGGUCGGACAUCAGGAGGUUAGUGCAAUGGCAUAAGCUAGCUUGACUGCGAGCGUGACGGCGCGAGCAGGUGCGAAAGCAGGUCAUAGUGAUCCGGUGGUUCUGAAUGGAAGGGCCAUCGCUCAACGGAUAAAAGGUACUCCGGGGAUAACAGGCUGAUACCGCCCAAGAGUUCAUAUCGACGGCGGUGUUUGGCACCUCGAUGUCGGCUCAUCACAUCCUGGGGCUGAAGUAGGUCCCAAGGGUAUGGCUGUUCGCCAUUUAAAGUGGUACGCGAGCUGGGUUUAGAACGUCGUGAGACAGUUCGGUCCCUAUCUGCCGUGGGCGCUGGAGAAUUGAGGGGGGCUGCUCCUAGUACGAGAGGACCGGAGUGGACGCAUCACUGGUGUUCGGGUUGUCAUGCCAAUGGCAUUGCCCGGUAGCUAAAUGCGGAAGAGAUAAGUGCUGAAAGCAUCUAAGCACGAAACUUGCCCCGAGAUGAGUUCUCCCUGAGACUUUAAGUCUCCUGAAGGAACGUUAAAGACGAUGACGUUGAUAGGUCGGGUGUGUAAGCGUAGCGAUACGUUGAGCUAACCGAUACUAAUGAACCGUGAGGCUUAACCUU